UACGAAGGGUGCAAGCGUUACUCGGAAUUACUGGGCGUAAAGCGUGCGUAGGUGGUUUGUUAAGUCUGUUGUGAAAGCCCCGGGCUCAACCUGGGAAUGGCAAUGGAUACUGGCAGGCUAGAGUGCGGUAGAGGGUAGUGGAAUUCCCGGUGUAGCGGUGAAAUGCGUAGAGAUCGGGAGGAACACCGGUGGCGAAGGCGGGUCUCUGGGCCGAUACUGACGCUGAGGAGCGAAAGCGUGGGGAGCGAACAGG
rnacentral:rRNA from 1 species